rnacentral:rRNA from 1 species
UACGGAGGAUGCGAGCGUUAUCCGGAUUUAUUGGGUUUAAAGGGUGCGUAGGCGGCUUAGUAAGUCAGCGGUGAAAUUUUGCAGCUUAACUGUAACAGUGCCGUUGAUACUGCCAGGCUAGGAUUUGGUUGCUGCGGGUGGAAUGUGUGGUGUAGCGGUGAAAUGCUUAGAUAUCACACAGAAUAUCGAUUGCGAAGGCAGCUCACAAAGCCAAGAUUGACGCUGAGGCACGAAAGUGUGGGGAUCAAACAGGA